rnacentral:rRNA from 2 species
AGGUGCGAUCAUACCAGCACUAAUGCAUCGAAUCCCAUCAGAACACCACAGUUAAGCGUGCUUGGGCGAGAGUAGUUCUAGGAUGGGUGAUCUCUUGGGAAGUCCUCGUGUUGCACCCA